rnacentral:other from 1 species
UGGGCCCUGCUUUGUGCGCGAAUGGACAGUUAUACUCUGGCCUUCAAUUAGUUUCGGGAGCUUGAAGACGGUGGACAAAGGAUUCCUGCCUACGGGGUGGAAACCGGCGGCCAUCGGAUAGGGCACCCACCUCGUAAAUGAGGUUACAGAGUCGCUGUGGUACGGCAAGGCGGGGUCUUU